rnacentral:rRNA from 1 species
UAGUUGGAUUUCUGUGGGGGACACGCGGCCGGCCAUCAGUGGUUGUAGCUAGUGUUGUUUUCUGCAUCUUGUCGCAAUUGCCACUGGCAUUCACUUGUUGGUGUGCAGGACCGACUCAUUUACUUUGAGAAAAUUAGAGUGUUCAAAGCAGGCUAUCGCCUUUGAAUAUGUUAGCAUGGAAUAAUGAUAUAGGACUUUGGUUCUAUUUUGUUGGUUGUUCGAGGACCGAAGUAAUGAUUGAUAGGGACAGUUGGGGGCAUCAGUAUUCUGAAGCGAGAGGUGAAAUUCUUGGACCUUCGGAAGACUAACAGCUGCGAAAGCGUUUGCCUAGGAUGUUCUCUUUAAUCAAGAACGAAAGUUGGGGGAUCGAAGACGAUCAGAUACCGUCGUAGUCUCAACUAUAUACUAUGCCAGCUAGGGAUUGGCGGAUGUUUAAUUAC